rnacentral:rRNA from 1 species
GUGGCGAACGGGUGAGUAACACGUGGGUAAUCUGCCCUGUACUCUGGGAUAAGCCUGGGAAACUGGGUCUAAUACCGGAUAUGACCUUUCACCGCAUGGUGGGGGGUGGAAAGUUCCGGCGGUAUGGGAUGAACCCGCGGCCUAUCAGCUUGUUGGUGGGGUAAUGGCCUACCAAGGCGAAGACGCGUAGCUGGUCUGAGAGGAUGAUCAGCCACACUGGGACUGAGACACGGCCCAGACUCCUACGGGAGGCAGCAGUGGGGAAUAUUGGACAAUGGGGGCAACCCUGAUCCAGCCACGCCGCGUGAGUGAUGAAGGCCUUCGGGUCGUAAAGCUCUGUGGGGAGGGACGAACGUCCGGGUGAAGAAUCCGGGGUGACGGUACCUCCUUAGCAAGCACCGGCUAACUUCGUGCCAGCAGCCGCGGUAAUACGUAGGGUGCGAGCGUUGUCCGGAAUUAUUGGGCGUAAAGAGCUCGUAGGCGGUUUGUCGCGUCGGCUGUGAAAUCUGGAGGCUUAACCUUCAGCGUGCAGUCGAUACGGGCAGACUUGAGUUCGGCAGGGGAGACUGGAAUUCCUGGUGUAGCGGUGAAAUGCGCAGAUAUCAGGAGGAACACCGGUGGCGAAGGCGGGUCUCUGGGCCGAUACUGACGCU